GGGGUUGUGGAUCAGUGGUAGAGAACUUGCCUAGAAUGUAAGGCACUGGGUUCAAUCCUCAGCACCACA
rnacentral:tRNA from 1 species